CCCAGAGGCAAUUCAUACUUUUUCAACUCAUGUAUUUCUUUCCAGCUGUGACCCUUGCAAUUAGGUGGAGGUAGAGCUGCUGGGGAAUCAGAUAGAAGGAUUGAGAAACCCUGUGGAGAAAGCAAGAAAUUAUCUAUGUGUGCCAAAAAGAGGUGAUCAGAGAGCUGCAAUUAUGAAGUUAAUGGAGUAGUCAAAUACUACAACGUUGAAUGUACCCAAGAACCUGCAAACCUAUGCUGUCUGCCUAAGCAAUCUGCAUUAUGUGCUGGCAGCUAUGGCUCCUGUGGAAUUUAUGUUCUGAGCACUGAGGAAGAGCAUCUCCCCCUGAAGUCAUCUAGCACUGAUUUCACAUUCUGGCUAUCCUGUAUUUGCUGUAAUUGGAAAAAUGUUUAAUUUUUUCAAAGUUUUCUUGAUAAAAUAUUCACAGAGGAAAUGCAGCAUUGUCUCUUUUUCAGGGAACAUGUCCUCUUGUGUUUCGAUUUCCACGAGAAUUGCAGGAAAGGAGUUCUUGUAAUAGCUGCUCUUGCUUAUGCCUGUAGGAGUGGGAAGGAGGACAUCAACUGGUAGCAUAAGCCCAGACACCUGAGUACCAUACCAUUCUCCUCUGAGAUUCUGGUACUGAAUCUCAUGAAGAUAAAAUCCCAGAAGAUCCUGCUGAAAGAAAGAUGAGAAACAAGUCACCUUUGACCAGAAAUGGAAAAAUUCAGUAUGGAAGAUAAUGGUUCAACGGAAAAAAUCUGUGUGCUGUCACUGCCAUGACUUUGACAACAAAAUUUAUGACUUUUAGGGUUGUUUUUUCUUGAACCUUUUUUUCACUAAGUUGUUGGAGAAAACUUUUUGAUUGAAUUGGGCCAGAUUUAAUUUAGUCAGAAAGCAAAAUGUCUUUUUUUUCUGUGGAGAGUUCUGAUAUCAUAAAAUGUUUCUCAAUCAAAAUGAACUAAAAGUGAAAAUCUUACAGCUUUGUCAAAAAGCUGAGAAUUUUUUACUUAACAAAUUAGUACUGUGGGUUGGUGCUGAUAUUGCUCUCCUGAGAGUUAGGGACUUCAGUGGCUGUGAAGACCAUAAAAUGUGGCUGAAGAUUCUUUGUCCUCACCUGAAGAACAGAAGAUUGGGAGUGGAUUUUGGCCCUGUUGUUCUUUCCUUGGAAAGGACUAUAGGAGAUGAUAAAGCUGGCAAGAAAAUUUGUGUCUGAGCCCUGGUAACCCAUUUCUGCUGGCAGAAUAAGGGGAUAGAAACAAUAUCAGACCUUGUGGGAUAAGGGGAAGAAGGUUGGAAGAAAGGAAUAAAAAUUGUGCUGGAGUCCAUGUUCCAGCACAGACCACUACCUUAUUUGCCUCCAGUUUGUCUCUAUGACUGGC
rnacentral:lncRNA from 1 species